UUACCCGCGACAGGACGGGAAGACCCCGUGGAGCUUUACUGCAACCUGAUAUGGAAUGUUUGUACCGCUUGUACAGGAUAGGUAGGAGCCGAAGAGACGUGUGCGCUAGCAUACGAGGAGGCAAUGGGGGGAUACUACCCUGGCUGUAUGACCAUUCUAACCCGCCACGCUUAGCGCGUGGGGAGACAGUGUCAGGUGGGCAGUUUGACUGGGGCGGUCGCCUCCUAAAGAGUAACGGAGGCGCCCAAAGGUUCC
rnacentral:rRNA from 1 species